AUUGGAGGGCAAGUCUGGUGCCAGCAGCCGCGGUAAUUCCAGCUCCAAUAGCGUAUAUUAAAGUUGUUGCAGUUAAAAAGCUCGUAGUUGGAUUUCUGUUGUAUAAUCUAUAAUAUUACUAAGGUAUAUAUUAUAUUAUCAACAUCCUUCCUAUUAUAUUUCUAAAUAUAUAGGAAACUUUACUUUGAGAAAAUUAGAGUGCUUAAAGCAGGCAACUGCCUUGAAUACUCCAGCAUGGAAUAAUAAGUAAGGACUUUUGUCUUUCUUAUUGGUUCUAGGACAAAAGUAAUGGUUAAUAGGGACAGUUGGGGGCAUUCGUAUUUAACAGCCAGAGGUGAAAUUCUUAGAUUUGUUAAAGACGAACUACUGCGAAAGCAUUUGCCAAGGAUGUUUUCAUUAAUCAAGAACGAAAGUUAGGGGAUCGAAGACGAUCAGAUACCGUCGUAGUCUUAACCAUAAACUAUGCCGACUAGAGAUUGGAGGUUGUUCCUUACUCCUUCAGCACCUUA
rnacentral:rRNA from 1 species